rnacentral:rRNA from 1 species
AAUAUUCGAGAAAGGGGUCAACCCGGAAUCAGUCAUCGCGCGUGAGUGAAGCCGGCCUUCGGACUUUCAAGCACUUUAAGUUGGGAGGAAGGGCUCUACGUUAAUACCCUGAAGCCUUAACGCUACCAACAGAAUAAGCACCGGCUACCUCUGUGCCAGCAGCCGCGGUAAUACAGAGGGUGCAAGCGUUAAUCGGAAUUACAGGGCGUAAAGCGCGCGUAGGUGGUUCAGUAAGAUGGGUGUGAAAUCCCCGGGCUUAACCUGGGAACUGCUUUCAUAACUGCUGAGCUAGAGUACGGUAGAGGGUAGUGGAAUUUCCUGUGUAGCGGUGAAAUGCGUAGAUAUAGGAAGGAACACCAGUGGCGAAGGCGACUACCUGGACUGAUACUGACACUGAGGUGCGAAAGCGUGGGGAGCAAAC